rnacentral:rRNA from 1 species
AUACGUCGGGGGCGAGCGUUGUCCGGAAUGAUUGGGCGUAAAGGGCGCGUAGGCGGCGCGGUAAGUCUGGAGUGAAAGUCCUGCUUUCAAGGUGGGAAUUGCUUUGGAUACUGCCGCGCUUGAGUGCAGGAGAGGUUAUCGGAAUUCCCGGUGUAGCGGUGAAAUGCGUAGAGAUCGGGAGGAACACCAGUGGCGAAGGCGGGUAACUGGACUGCAACUGACGCUGAGGCGCGAAAGUGUGGGGAGCAAACAGGAUUAGAUACCCUGGUAGUCCACACUGUAAACGAUGAAUGCUAGGUGUAAGAGGUAUCGACCCCUUUUGUGCCGGAGUCAACACAAUAAGCAUUCCGCCUGGGGAGUACGGCCGCAAGGUUGAAACUCAAAGGAAUUGACGGGG